CUCCAGUUGCUUGAAUACAAUACACAUUAGAGCUAGCACCUGUCACCAGACCUGUGCUCUGUCUGCUUGAGUCCUGUUGUGUCUCUCACCAAGCAGUAUCCCUCUCAACCAGUGCCAGCAGCCACUCUGGUUCUUCCCCCAGAACACGGCCUGAAGAUCCUCAGAGGAGGUGGGCUGAUGGAGGAGAGAAGCAGCUACUGGUUGCUGUUCCAAGAUGAGUUGCUGGUUUAGGUUCUCAGAGUAUUGGAUGGAUGCAGCAGUUGAAGGGAAGGGCUGAGGACUGGACUGAGGAGCCUGAGGAUGCAGAAACAGCUUGAGGCAGCACAGCCCCCACAAGGCUGGCACAACAGCUUCUGAAAAGUGUGAGCGUGUGGGUUGGUGUGCAUAUUUUGAGCAUGCACGUUUUUAUGCUUGUAGUGUGUUUCUGUAUUUGUGUGUGUGUAGGCAUAUGGGCUUU